rnacentral:rRNA from 1 species
AGCGAACGCUGGCGGCAUGCCUAACACAUGCAAGUCGCGCGGUCAGCAAUGGCAGCGGCGGACGGGUGCGUAACGCGUAGGAACGUGUCUUGAGGUGGGGGACAACCCUGGGAAACUGGGGCUAAUACCGCAUAUGGGCUGAGGCCCAAAGCCGUGAGGCGCCUUUGGAGCGGCCUGCGUCCGAUUAGCUUGUUGGUGGGGUAAUGGCCUGCCAAGGCUCCGAUCGGUAGCUGGUCUGAGAGGACGAACAGCCACACUGGGACUGAGACACGGCCCAGACUCCUACGGGAGGCAGCAGUGGGGAAUAUUGGACAAUGGGCGCAAGCCUGAUCCAGCAAUGCCGCGUGGGUGAAGAAGGUCUUCGGAUCGUAAAGCCCUUUCGACAGGGACGAUGAUGACGGUACCUGUAGAAGAAGCCCCGGCUAACUACGUGCCAGCCGCCGCCGUAA